rnacentral:rRNA from 1 species
UACGGGGGGGGGCAAGCGUUGUUCGGAAUUACUGGGCGUAAAGAGCUCGUAGGCGGUUUGGUAAGUCUGGUGUGAAAUCUCCACGCUCAACGUGGAGGGGCCACCCGAUACUGCCAUGACUGGAGUCCGGUAGGGGAGUGGGGAAUUCCUGGUGUAGCGGUGAAAUGCGCAGAUAUCAGGAGGAACACCGGUGGCGAAGGCGCCACUCUGGGCCGGUACUGACGCUGAGGAGCGAAAGCGUGGAUAGCAAACAGG